UUGAACGCUGGCGGCAUGCCUUACACAUGCAAGUCGAACGGUAGAGGGGCAACCCUUGAGAGUGGCGAACGGGUGGGUAAUGCAUCGGAACGUGCCCAGUCGUGGGGGAUAACGCAGCGAAAGCUGUGCUAAUACCGCAUGUGAUCUGUGGAUGAAAGCAGGGGACCGCAAGGCCUUGUGCGAUUGGAGCGGCCGAUGUCAGAUUAGCUAGUUGGUAGGGUAAAAGCCUACCAAGGCGACGAUCUGUAGCUG
rnacentral:rRNA from 1 species